rnacentral:rRNA from 1 species
UACGGUGCUGAAGCAACAAAUGCCCUGCUUCCAGGAAAAGCCUCUAAGCAUCAGGUAACAUCAAAUCGUACCCCAAACCGACACAGGUGGUCAGGUAGAGAAUACCAAGGCGCUUGAGAGAACUCGGGUGAAGGAACUAGGCAAAAUGGUGCCGUAACUUCGGGAGAAGGCACGCUGAUAUGUAGGUGAAGUCCCUCGCGGAUGGAGCUGAAAUCAGUCGAAGAUACCAGCUGGCUGCAACUGUUUAUUAAAAACACAGCACUGUGCAAACACGAAAGUGGACGUAUACGGUGUGACGCCUGCCCGGUGCCGGAAGGUUAAUUGAUGGGGUUAGCGCAAGCGAAGCUCUUGAUCGAAGCCCCGGUAAACGGCGGCCGUAACUAUAACGGUCCUAAGGUAGCGAAAUUCCUUGUCGGGUAAGUUCCGACCUGCACGAAUGGCGUAAUGAUGGCCAGGCUGUCUCCACCCGAGACUCAGUGAAAUUGAACUCGCUGUGAAGAUGCAGUGUACCCGCGGCAAGACGGAAAGACCCCGUGAACCUUUACUAUAGCUUGACACUGAACAUUGAGCCUUGAUGUGUAGGAUAGGUGGGAGGCUUUGAAGUGUGGACGCCAGUCUGCAUGGAGCCGACCUUGAAAUACCACCCUUUAAUGUUUGAUGUUCUAACGUUGACCCGUAAUCCGGGUUGCGGACAGUGUCUGGUGGGUAGUUUGACUGGGGCGGUCUCCUCCUAAAGAGUAACGGAGGAGCACGAAGGUUGGCUAAUCCUGGUCGGACAUCAGGAGGUUAGUGCAAUGGCAUAAGCCAGCUUGACUGCGAGCGUGACGGCGCGAGCAGGUGCGAAAGCAGGUCAUAGUGAUCCGGUGGUUCUGAAUGGAAGGGCCAUCGCUCAACGGAUAAAAGGUACUCCGGGGAUAACAGGCUGAUACCGCCCAAGAGUUCAUAUCGACGGCGGUGUUUGGCACCUCGAUGUCGGCUCAUCACAUCCUGGGGCUGAAGUAGGUCCCAAGGGUAUGGCUGUUCGCCAUUUAAAGUGGUACGCGAGCUGGGUUUAGAACGUCGUGAGACAGUUCGGUCCCUAUCUGCCGUGGGCGCUGGAGAACUGAGGGGGGCUGCUCCUAGUACGAGAGGACCGGAGUGGACGCAUCACUGGUGUUCGGGUUGUCAUGCCAAUGGCACUGCCCGGUAGCUAAAUGCGGAAGAGAUAAGUGCUGAAAGCAUCUAAGCACGAAACUUGCCCCGAGAUGAGUUCUCCCUGACUCCUUGAGAGUCCUGAAGGAACGUUGAAGACGACGACGUUGAUAGGCCGGGUGUGUAAGCGCAGCGAUGCGUUGAGCUAACCGGUACUAAUGAACCGUGAGGCUUAACCUUACAACGCCGAAGCUGUU